CCCCACCCCUGAUUUACAAUAUUCCCAGAUGUCUUUUGAUAAGCAAACGUGGAACCUUCGCUUCCCACAGGUUCCAUAUAUGGGAGAAAUCCCUAGGUACCUUUCUCUCCGCCCCACAAGGAAGACCUUCUGCCCCAUGCUCACCCUCCCAGUGCCAUCUUUCCAGAGGACCCGGCUCAGGACUCCCCCCCCUCCCCUUCUUGUUCCCUCUGGGUGGGGCAAUCAAUUUCCACUCUGCUCUUCUCGCUUCCCCGCCAGGCCAGUAGCUUGCCAAGUUUCCUAGAACAGCAAGCCCAGCUGGAGCUCCUGGCUAGGAGAGUCACCUUGCUGGAAGCUAUCAUCUGGCCAGAACCAGACCUGGGAUCCGGCCUUGACCCGGCCACUAGGGGUGUCCCCGGCGGCGAUCGGAGUAAGCGCAGUGGGUACUCGGCGGCCUACCGUGUGAGCUCGCACCGCCUUCCUCAGAAGGGAGAGGAGAGGAAGAAAUGAAGGAGGCUCUGUCCACCGUCAGGCGAAGAAGAGGACCACAUCUGGAUGGAGGCACCUCCGAUGUGGAGGGAGCACCGUGCUCCAUCCUCCUCCUCCUCCACGCUCUGCCUUGGACCGGUGGUGAUGGAGACGGGGGCUGUUUGAUGGACCAGGCUGGGCCUUGCUAACAAACCCUGUGUAUUUAUUUCUUCUUUUCACACAGGGGGUGUUGUUCCUGCUAUGGAACAAAUAGGAAUAAGAUGUUAUGGGGUCUAUGCUUAUUUGAGGGGGGGGGCGUCUCGGCUUGCCUGUCACUUGCCGGAGAUCCCCUCUUUGUGGUCAGAUUGGGCUGCAAUUUGGCAAGGACGGGCCCAACAUGUCCAGCCUUCUGCCACUUUCUCGUCCGCACGGUGGCAUCUCUCCGGAAUACGUCCAGAGGCUCCGGAUGCCCAGAUGUUUCCUUUUCUUUGAACCUCAAUCUUUAAACCUCAAUUUUACCUUUUU